rnacentral:rRNA from 1 species
GAGUUUGAUCCUGGCUCAGGAUGAACGCUAGCUACAGGCUUAACACAUGCAAGUCGAGGGGCAUCAGGAAGAAAGCUUGCUUUCUUUGCUGGCGACCGGCGCACGGGUGAGUAACACGUAUCCAACCUGCCCUUUACUCGGGGAUAGCCUUUCGAAAGAAAGAUUAAUACCCGAUAGCAUAAUGAUUCCGCAUGGUUUCAUUAUUAAAGGAUUCCGGUAAAGGAUGGGGAUGCGUUCCAUUAGGUUGUUGGUGAGGUAACGGCUCACCAAGCCUUCGAUGGAUAGGGGUUCUGAGAGGAAGGUCCCCCACAUUGGAACUGAGACACGGUCCAAACUCCUACGGGAGGCAGCAGUGAGGAAUAUUGGUCAAUGGGCGCUAGCCUGAACCAGCCAAGUAGCGUGAAGGAUGAAGGCUCUAUGGGUCGUAAACUUCUUUUAUAUAAGAAUAAAGUGCAGUAUGUAUACUGUUUUGUAUGUAUUAUAUGAAUAAGGAUCGGCUAACUCCGUGCCAGCAGCCGCGGUAAUACGGAGGAUCCGAGCGUUAUCCGGAUUUAUUGGGUUUAAAGGGAGCGUAGGUGGACUGGUAAGUCAGUUGUGAAAGUUUGCGGCUCAACCGUAAAAUUGCAGUUGAUACUGUCAGUCUUGAGUACAGUAGAGGUGGGCGGAAUUCGUGGUGUAGCGGUGAAAUGCUUAGAUAUCACGAAGAACUCCGAUUGCGAAGGCAGCUCACUGGACUGCAACUGACACUGAUGCUCGAAAGUGUGGGUAUCAAACAGGAUUAGAUACCCUGGUAGUCCACACAGUAAACGAUGAAUACUCGCUGUUUGCGAUAUACAGUAAGCGGCCAAGCGAAAGCAUUAAGUAUUCCACCUGGGGAGUACGCCGGCAACGGUGAAACUCAAAGGAAUUGACGGGGGCCCGCACAAGCGGAGGAACAUGUGGUUUAAUUCGAUGAUACGCGAGGAACCUUACCCGGGCUUAAAUUGCAGUGGAAUGAUGUGGAAACAUGUCAGUGAGCAAUCACCGCUGUGAAGGUGCUGCAUGGUUGUCGUCAGCUCGUGCCGUGAGGUGUCGGCUUAAGUGCCAUAACGAGCGCAACCCUUAUCUUUAGUUACUAACAGGUUAUGCUGAGGACUCUAGAGAGACUGCCGUCGUAAGAUGUGAGGAAGGUGGGGAUGACGUCAAAUCAGCACGGCCCUUACGUCCGGGGCUACACACGUGUUACAAUGGGGGGUACAGAAGGCAGCUAGCGGGUGACCGUAUGCUAAUCCCAAAAGCCUCUCUCAGUUCGGAUCGAAGUCUGCAACCCGACUUCGUGAAGCUGGAUUCGCUAGUAAUCGCGCAUCAGCCACGGCGCGGUGAAUACGUUCCCGGGCCUUGUACACACCGCCCGUCAAGCCAUGGGAGCCGGGGGUACCUGAAGUACGUAACCGCAAGGAUCGUCCUAGGGUAAAACUGGUGACUGGGGCUAAGUCGUAACAAGGUAGCCGUA